rfam:Cavia porcellus supercont2_16 genomic scaffold, whole genome shotgun sequence.
GGGGAUGUGGCUCAGUGGUAGAGCUCUUGUCUUACAUGCACAAGGUUCUGGGUUUGAUCCCCAGCAUCACAC